rnacentral:rRNA from 1 species
AUGCAACGGAUCAAAUUACCCAAAAACUUGUUCACCACUUCCAUUUGUCCAUCUGUUUGUGUAUGGGCAGUGCUAGAAAAUUUCAAUUCAAUGUUGAAUUGCUUCCACGAGGAGGGGGAGGAGGUCAGGCUUGAUGGGCAGGUGGUGCCUCAGAAGUACACCUUUAGAUAUUUGGGGUCUAUGCUGCAAAAGGAUGGGGAUAUCAAUGAAGAUGUGAAUCGUCGAAUCAAAGCCGGAUGGAUGAAAUGGCACCAAGCUUUUGGCACUCUAUGUGACAAGAGAGUGCCACAAAAGCUAAAAGUUAGGUGUGGCGGAGAUGCGCAUGUUGAGAUGGAUGUGUGGCCACACAAGGAAGGACCGGAUACGGAAUGA